CCUACGGGGGGCAGCAGUAGGGAAUUUUCCACAAUGGACGAAAGUCUGAUGGAGCAACGCCGCGUGCAGGAUGAAUGCCUUAGGGUUGUAAACUGCUUUUAAUAGUGACGAAUAUGACGGUAACUAUUGAAUAAGCUUCGGCUAAUUCCGUGCCAGCAGCCGCGGUCAUACGGAAGAAGCAAGCGUUAUCCGGAAUUACUGGGCGUAAAGAGUUGCGUAGGUGGCAUAGUAAGUCAGCAGUGAAAGCGUGGGGCUCAACCCCAUACACAUUGUUGAAACUGCUAAGCUAGAGAAUGAGAGAGGUAUCUGGAAUUCCCAGUGUAGGAGUGAAAUCCGUAGAUAUUGGGAGGAACACCGAUGGCGUAGGCAGGGUACUGGCUCAUUUCUGACACUAAGGCACGAAAGCGUGGGGAGCAAACGGGAUUAGAUACCCGAGUAGU
rnacentral:rRNA from 1 species